rnacentral:misc_RNA from 1 species
GGGCUACAUGGGAGAUUGUAUAAACUUGUCAAAAACUUCAUCAUUGAUCAUUGCUGGAAUAAAAGACCAAAUAAAAGGUCACUGAACAGAAGUUGAAACAUUUCACGACAAUUUAUUUAGAAGACUUUAAAAUUGAAAUAUCACUUGAAAGAAGAAAAUAAUUGAAAAUUUUGGUGGGCUACAAUAAACACUGAGAAUAACUGUUUUAAUUAUUAAUUCUACCUGAUGAAUUCAUCUGCCCCAACGUAGCACAAAAUUCUACUGUCCAUAGUAAGGAAAAUAAAUGUAUCAACUUCUUGACAAUGACUUGUGGG